rnacentral:lncRNA from 1 species
UGGUAAUGUUAGAAAUCUUCCUAUAGCUUGUUUAUCAUCUUUAGAUCCUGAUAUAGAUCGAUUUUUGAAGAUGAACCAUCCUUGAGAAUUAAACUAGCUUCAAGAAUAGUAGUAUUGGUUGUCUUCAGUAGAUAGUGGUAAUCAUCUGGUUGUGAAAGUGGCUAAUAGAAGAGCCACUAGAUUGUACCAGCAAAGAAAAUUUUUCUACCAAAAGAUUGGUAGAGGGGUUAGUAAAAUUUUUUUUUUGUUACAAAGCUCAACCUUUCAAAAUGAGUUGGUUGAGU